CCAUAGGUUAAUGAGGCGAACCGGGGGAACUGAAACAUCUAAGUACCCCGAGGAAAAGAAAUCAACCGAGAUUCCCCCAGUAGCGGCGAGCGAACGGGGAGCAGCCCAGAGCCUGAAUCAGUGUGUGUGUUAGUGGAAGCGUCUGGAAAGGCGCGCGAUACAGGGUGACAGCCCCGUACACAAAAAUGCACAUGCUGUGAGCUCGAUGAGUAGGGCGGGACACGUGGUAUCCUGUCUGAAUAUGGGGGGACCAUCCUCCAAGGCUAAAUACUCCUGACUGACCGAUAGUGAACCAGUACCGUGAGGGAAAGGCGAAAAGAACCCCGGCGAGGGGAGUGAAAAAGAACCUGAAACCGUGUACGUACAAGCAGUGGGAGCACGCUUAGGCGUGUGACUGCGUACCUUUUGUAUAAUGGGUCAGCGACUUAUAUUCUGUAGCAAGGUUAACCGAAUAGGGGAGCCGAAGGGAAACCGAGUCUUAACUGGGCGUUAAGUUGCAGGGUAUAGACCCGAAACCCGGUGAUCUAGCCAUGGGCAGGUUGAAGGUUGGGUAACACUAACUGGAGGACCGAACCGACUAAUGUUGAAAAAUUAGCGGAUGACUUGUGGCUGGGGGUGAAAGGCCAAUCAAACCGGGAGAUAGCUGGUUCUCCCCGAAAGCUAUUUAGGUAGCGCCUCGUGAAUUCAUCUCCGGGGGUAGAGCACUGUUUCGGCAAGGGGGUCAUCCCGACUUACCAACCCGAUGCAAACUGCGAAUACCGGAGAAUGUUAUCACGGGAGACACACGGCGGGUGCUAACGUCCGUCGUGAAGAGGGAAACAACCCAGACCGCCAGCUAAGGUCCCAAAGUCAUGGUUAAGUGGGAAACGAUGUGGGAAGGCCCAGACAGCCAGGAUGUUGGCUUAGAAGCAGCCAUCAUUUAAAGAAAGCGUAAUAGCUCACUGGUCGAGUCGGCCUGCGCGGAAGAUGUAACGGGGCUAAACCAUGCACCGAAGCUGCGGCAGCGACGCUUAUGCGUUGUUGGGUAGGGGAGCGUUCUGUAAGCCUGUGAAGGUGUACUGUGAGGUAUGCUGGAGGUAUCAGAAGUGCGAAUGCUGACAUAAGUAACGAUAAAGCGGGUGAAAAGCCCGCUCGCCGGAAGACCAAGGGUUCCUGUCCAACGUUAAUCGGGGCAGGGUGAGUCGACCCCUAAGGCGAGGCCGAAAGGCGUAGUCGAUGGGAAACAGGUUAAUAUUCCUGUACUUGGUGUUACUGCGAAGGGGGGACGGAGAAGGCUAUGUUGGCCGGGCGACGGUUGUCCCGGUUUAAGCGUGUAGGCUGGUUUUCCAGGCAAAUCCGGAAAAUCAAGGCCGAGGCGUGAUGACGAGGCACUACGGUGCUGAAGCAACAAAUGCCCUGCUUCCAGGAAAAGCCUCUAAGCAUCAGGUAACAUCAAAUCGUACCCCAAACCGACACAGGUGGUCAGGUAGAGAAUACCAAGGCGCUUGAGAGAACUCGGGUGAAGGAACUAGGCAAAAUGGUGCCGUAACUUCGGGAGAAGGCACGCUGAUACGUAGGUGAAGCGACUUGCUCGUGGAGCUGAAAUCAGUCGAAGAUACCAGCUGGCUGCAACUGUUUAUUAAAAACACAGCACUGUGCAAACACGAAAGUGGACGUAUACGGUGUGACGCCUGCCCGGUGCCGGAAGGUUAAUUGAUGGGGUUAGCGCAAGCGAAGCUCUUGAUCGAAGCCCCGGUAAACGGCGGCCGUAACUAUAACGGUCCUAAGGUAGCGAAAUUCCUUGUCGGGUAAGUUCCGACCUGCACGAAUGGCGUAAUGAUGGCCAGGCUGUCUCCACCCGAGACUCAGUGAAAUUGAACUCGCUGUGAAGAUGCAGUGUACCCGCGGCAAGACGGAAAGACCCCGUGAACCUUUACUAUAGCUUGACACUGAACAUUGAGCCUUGAUGUGUAGGAUAGGUGGGAGGCUUUGAAGUGUGGACGCCAGUCUGCAUGGAGCCGACCUUGAAAUACCACCCUUUAAUGUUUGAUGUUCUAACGUGGACCCGUGAUCCGGGUUGCGGACAGUGUCUGGUGGGUAGUUUGACUGGGGCGGUCUCCUCCUAAAGAGUAACGGAGGAGCACGAAGGUUGGCUAAUCCUGGUCGGACAUCAGGAGGUUAGUGCAAUGGCAUAAGCCAGCUUGACUGCGAGCGUGACGGCGCGAGCAGGUGCGAAAGCAGGUCAUAGUGAUCCGGUGGUUCUGAAUGGAAGGGCCAUCGCUCAACGGAUAAAAGGUACUCCGGGGAUAACAGGCUGAUACCGCCCAAGAGUUCAUAUCGACGGCGGUGUUUGGCACCUCGAUGUCGGCUCAUCACAUCCUGGGGCUGAAGUAGGUCCCAAGGGUAUGGCUGUUCGCCAUUUAAAGUGGUACGCGAGCUGGGUUUAGAACGUCGUGAGACAGUUCGGUCCCUAUCUGCCGUGGGCGCUGGAGAACUGAGGGGGGCUGCUCCUAGUACGAGAGGACCGGAGUGGACGCAUCACUGGUGUUCGGGUUGUCAUGCCAAUGGCACUGCCCGGUAGCUAAAUGCGGAAGAGAUAAGUGCUGAAAGCAUCUAAGCACGAAACUUGCCCCGAGAUGAGU
rnacentral:rRNA from 1 species